rfam:Arabidopsis thaliana chromosome 3, complete sequence.
GGAUGCGAUCAUACCAGCACUAACGCACCGGAUCCCAUCAAAACUGUGCAGUUAAGCGUGUUUGGGCGAGAGUAGUACUAGGAUGGGUGACCUCCCGGAAAGUCCUCGUGUUGGAUCCC